AGACAAGCUCCCUGCAUGAUUGGCUUCAAAGUGUCUGGUGCCAAACAACUAACAGAGGCGCAAAAAGUAGAAGCCGUGCAUUUACAGCCCAGCGAAAGGGAGGCAGACAGAACGCGAGCUACCCGGGGCUCCUCAGAUGCUGGAGUCUCUCUCUACCUUUGCACGGCUCUCUCGACGUCUUAGGAGCAUUUAAGCAUGCCAGCCCAGGAGAUCAGAGACACUCAGCCCAGCUGAAAACAAGUGAGAGAGAACAAUUAGAGAGGGGGCUCAAUUCUCAAAAGUGAGCCCGCUCCUUGAUCUGCAAAGCGGAAGCAGCCGCAGCAGCUGUGAGCAAGAAAAAGGUGAAAUUUACCAAGAAAGAACUCGUCUCUAUUCCAGUCUAUUGAAUCCCAGUCAUGGCAUCCGUCUUGGGAAACAACAGAGGGUCUGGAGGGCUAAGUAGUCAACUCAAAUGCAAGUCGAAAAGGAGGAGGAGAAGAAGAUCAAAGAGAAAAGGCUGGCUCCCAGGGAAAUACCAUGCCAGUGUUCCACAGAUUUCACUGGAUACCAGUCAGUUUCUUCUGGCAGAUUGAAGAGAAUAGACUGAAGAAAGAAUCACAAUCAGAUUGUAGAGGCCAUCAAGUGCAAGCUUCUUUUUGCACAAAAGGAAACAAGUUAAAAUGGUUGUCACUUCUCCAUGGUCAUAUAGCAAGCAUCCUGACCAUUUUUGGAGAUGGAGAUACACAUGCUGUAUUUGACCAUCUGUGCAUCCUACCUUCUCAUAUGACAAAGGCAGAACAAUUAUUGAAAGAGAUGGUGAUGUGGGUGAAUGUUAUUAUUCAGAUUAUAUUGGCUCCUGGCAUAAUAGAUAAGGCUACUGGGUUUGAUAUCAGGAUGACCAGGGUGUAA
rnacentral:lncRNA from 1 species